UGGGGAAUAUUGCACAAUGGGCGCAAGCCUGAUGCAGCCAUGCCGCGUGUGUGAAGAAGGCCUUCGGGUUGUAAAGCACUUUCAGCGAGGAGGAAGGGUUCAGUGUUAAUAGCACUGUUCAUUGACGUUACUCGCAGAAGAAGCACCGGCUAACUCCGUGCCAGCAGCCGCGGUAAUACGGAGGGUGCAAGCGUUAAUCGGAAUUACUGGGCGUAAAGCGCACGCAGGCGGUUUGUUAAGUCAGAUGUGAAAUCCCCGCGCUUAACGUGGGAACUGCAUUUGAAACUGGCAAGCUAGAGUCUUGUAGAGGGGGGUGAGAAUUCCAGGUGUAGCGGUGAAAUGCGUAGAGAUCUGGAGGAAUACCGGUGGCGAAGGCGGCCCCCUGGACAAAGACUGACGCUCAGGUGCGAAAGCGU
rnacentral:rRNA from 1 species